rnacentral:rRNA from 1 species
GAUGAACGCUGGCGGCGUGCCUAAUACAUGCAAGUCGAGCGAACAGACGAGGAGCUUGCUCCUCUGACGUUAGCGGCGGACGGGUGAGUAACACGUGGAUAACCUACCUAUAAGACUGGGAUAACUUCGGGAAACCGGAGCUAAUACCGGAUAACAUGUUGAACCGCAUGGUUCAACAGUGAAAGACGGUCUUGCUGUCACUUAUAGAUGGAUCCGCGCCGCAUUAGCUAGUUGGUAAGGUAACGGCUUACCAAGGCAACGAGGCGUAGCCGACCUGAGAGGGUGAUCGGCCACACUGGAACUGAGACACGGUCCAGACUCCUACGGGAGGCAGCAGUAGGGAAUCUUCCGCAAUGGGCGAAAGCCUGACGGAGCAACGCCGCGUGAGUGAAGAAGGUCUUCGGAUCGUAAAACUCUGUUAUUAGGGAAGAACAAAUGUGUAAGUAACUAUGCACGUCUUGACGGUACCUAAUCAGAAAGCCACGGCUAACUACGUG